rnacentral:tRNA from 1 species
GGUUUCCUAAACCGUGUGUCGCAGGUUCGAAUCCUGCCUGGGGCA